rnacentral:lncRNA from 1 species
GUAAGUCACUCAUCAUUUUUUAUUUUUUGUCUGUGAUUGCCACAGCCUUAUAACGUCUCUCUGCCACCAUUCAUCCUAACAAUCUUUUAGCAAGUUGAUCUCUGAUGCCAUUUCUCUCCCCUGCAUUCAAUCCCUAAUUGCUCUCAGGAAGACAACACCAAGCAUGUAACAGCCUCUGUGACUUGUUCCCUGUUUCCUAUUGCUGCUGUAAAAACUUACCACAAGUUUAGUGGCUUAAGACAACACAAAGGUAUUACAAUAAUUGAGAUCAGCAUCAGCAGUCUGAAGUGAAUCUCACUGUGCUGAGUGAGUGCUGGUGUUGGCAAGGCUGCGUUCUUCUGGAGGCUGUAGGGCACAAUCUAUGUCCUUGCUCUUUAUGGCUUCUAGAAACUUCCCUUUCCUCUCUCUUCAAAUCUAGCACAUGGCAUCUUCAUAUCUCUCUCUGACUCACACAUCUUCCUCUCGCUUCUAUAAUUAAAAAUCUUUUGAUUACCUUAGGCCCAUCUAGAUGACGCAGGAUAAUUUCUUUUUUAAGGUCAGCUGAUUAGCAACCUUAAUUCCAUCAGCAAUCUUCCUUUCCCAUUGCCCUGAAACGUAACAUAUUCAUAGGUCUUGGAAAUUAAGAUGUAGACACCUUUGGGGCAUAUCAUAUUGCCUACCACUGCCCUUUUCUCCCUUUCUAAGGAACAAGUCCCCUAUGCUACCUCUCAAAAUUGAACUCCAAAGAUGUAGAACUGUUCGCAGUUAGUUCCCUGCACCAAGCCUGCUGAUCCAAGACUCUGUGUCUUUGCUGUGCUCUUCCUUCUGCCUGGCAGCUCUUUGUACUUCAUUGCUUGGCUAAUUUCAAUCGACCUCUAAGACUACUUAAGUAUCAUCCCCUCUAGGAAGCCUUUCUGACAUUCUAAGCUUUUACCAAAUUCUCUUCCUCUGUGCUUGCCUCCAUCUUGGCACUUUUCACAUUACAUCAAAAAUCUCUCUUUACUUAUCAGUCUCCCUUUAAUAGGACGGAAACUGCUUGAAAGCAGACAAGAGUUGGAGGGCAUGCUUGCUGUUGUGAAGCUGACAAGGGUAUAUGACAAGCUGGGAUUCUGGAGGAAACAG